rnacentral:lncRNA from 1 species
GAGGAACAAGGACAGAAGGAUCAAAAUACAUGAGGAAAACAUGGGAAUGUUAUUGUAACUUUUCCUUUUGACACUGACCAAGGCAUCCAGCAACCUUCCCAACAACUUUGAGCUCCCAAGCAAUAUUAAGCCUUCUAUUUCUUUUGAAGUAAGAAAAAACAGUUCUCCAAUACAGAAAAAAAACUAAGUGGAAGGGGUUAAAUUCAUUGAACUUCGAGAUACUAAAAAUGGCUUUUACAGGAAAUAGCUCUGUCAAGAAUUGAAAAUGCUGCUCACUCAGAUUGACCAGGAGUGGUUCCUUCUAAACUACAUUUAUAUUGAUGGCAUGCUCAGGAAAUGGAGAAAAAUUCAGUAUAGACUUGAGGUUAGAGCUCCUCACUGGACGUGGGAGAUGGCAGUCAGGCUCUGGGUCUCACACACAGUGAAACAGGAACACCUCUUCAUAUGUUCAACAGGGAGAGCUCCACGUUUAACUGUGCAACAGAAAGAGACUGUUUGCUUAAAUAAAAACAGCAGUGUAACUGCUCACUACACAUAUCUGGAUAACAGAGCCUUGCUGUAUGUCCCCUCCUCCAGAGGAGCCCAUGUUUUCUGCAAGCCAUGAAGAAAUGAUGAGAACUUGCUUUCCCUAAGACCUAAUUUUAACUGAAGUCAUGAUGAUGGUACAAUAUUAUACGUCAUUUACAGCACUGUGAUGUGGAACAUAUUUCUUUAGAACUGUUUCAGAACAGCAUUUGCUUAAUUAUGAACUAGGCAAGAGGGUAUAGAGUAAACAAAGGUAAAACAGACGCUACAGGGAGAAAUGUGGAGGUGAGCUGAGGAAUGCAGCCUUAUCUCUCUUGCGCCAGGCACUCAUGUGCUCACAUACUGGUUCAGGCUGUGACUUACGAAUUCCACUACAACCUGCAAGUCACAAUAGCUCAGCAAUUGGGGUGGAGAAUAUGUUAAUAACUUCUUAGAAUCAAUUGUAAUAUCCCCUCCUAUUCCUGCAUAUGUAUAAGUUGCCUCUAUAAACAUCCUCAAAGUGUCACUUUGCGGUGUGCAAACUAGGAGGGGGCUACCCCUUUGCACCCAGCAUGUGUGUGCUGCACUGUAAUAAAAAUAUAUACCUGCUUUAUAACUACUUUGUG